GAUGAACGCUGGCGGCGUGCCUAAUACAUGCAAGUCGAGCGAACAGACGAGGAGCUUGCUCCUCUGACGUUAGCGGCGGACGGGUGAGUAACACGUGGAUAACCUACCUAUAAGACUGGGAUAACUUCGGGAAACCGGAGCUAAUACCGGAUAAUAUAUUGAACCGCAUGGUUCAAUAGUGAAAGACGGUUUUGCUGUCACUUAUAGAUGGAUCCGCGCCGCAUUAGCUAGUUGGUAAGGUAACGGCUUACCAAGGCAACGAUGCGUAGCCGACCUGAGAGGGUGAUCGGCCACACUGGAACUGAGACACGGUCCAGACUCCUACGGGAGGCAGCAGUAGGGAAUCUUCCGCAAUGGGCGAAAGCCUGACGGAGCAACGCCGCGUGAGUGAUGAAGGUCUUCGGAUCGUAAAACUCUGUUAUUAGGGAAGAACAAAUGUGUAAGUAACUAUGGCCGUCUUGACGGUACCUAAUCAGAAAGCAACGGCUAACUACGUG
rnacentral:rRNA from 1 species